rnacentral:rRNA from 1 species
AAUCUACCCUUUGGUGAGGAAUAACGGUUCGAAAGGACCGCUAAUACCACAUAAGUCCGUAAGGAGAAAGACCGUAACUGGUCGCCGAUGGAGGAGCCUGCGUCCUAUCAGCUUGUUGGUGAGGUAAUGGCUCACCAAGGCUAUGACAGGUAGGGGGCGUGAGAGCGUGGCCCCCCACAAGGACACUGAGACACGGGUCCUACACCUACGGGUGGCAGCAACCGGGAAUAUUGCGCAAUGGAGGAAACUCUGACGCAGCGACGCCGCGUGCGGGAUGAAGGCCUUCGGGUUGUAAACCGCUGUGGAGAGGGAUGAAUUUUGACAGUACCUCUCUAGAAAGCACCUGCUAACUACGUGCCAGAAGCCUCGGUAAUACGUAGGGUGCAAGCGUUAUCCGGAUAUACUGGGCGUAAAGCGUCCGUAGGCGGUAUGGUAAGUGGUGGGUUAAAGACUCUGGCUCAACUAGAGGAAAGCUCGCCAAACUGCCAAACUAGAGCUAGUUCGGGGAUACUGGAAUUCUCGGUGGAGGGGUGAAAUCCGUUGAUAUCGAGAAGAACGCCAAAGACGAAGGUCAAGUAUCUAGAACUAUGCUGACGCUCAGGGACGAAAGCUAGGGUAGCAAACUGGAUUAGAGACCCAGGUAGUCCUAGCCGUAAACUAUGAACACUAGCUGGUUGGAUGAAUAUCUGACCGGCGCAAGCUAACGCGUUAAGUGUUCCGCCAGGGGAGUACGGCCGCAAGGCUAAAACUCAAAGGAAUUGACGGGGACAACGCACAACCGGCGUCCCAUGUGGUUUACAUUCGAUAACGAAACGAAGAACCUUACCUAGGUUUGACAUCCCGAUCGUACGUCUUGGAAACAAGAUGGUCAGUUCGGCUGGAUCGGUGACAGCUGCUGCAUGGUUGUCGUCAGCUCGUGUCGUGAGGCGUCCUUUUAAGUCAGGUAACGAGCGCAACCCCUGUCGUAUGUUAAAUGUUCAUGCGAGACUGCCUUGGUGCAACCAAGGAGGAAGGAGGGGACGACGUCAAAUCAGCAUGGCGCUCACAUCUAGGGCGUACACACAUGGGGUAAUGGCGAAUACAACGGGUCGCGAGGGAGUAAUCCGGAGCUAAUCCUUUAAAAUUCGCCUCAGUUCGGAUGCGUGGGCUGCAAUUCGCCCACA